AGUGAACGCUGGCGGUAGGCCUAACACAUGCAAGUCGAACGGCAGCACAGUAAGAGCUUGCUCUUACGGGUGGCGAGUGGCGGACGGGUGAGGAAUACAUCGGAAUCUACUUUUUCGUGGGGGAUAACGUAGGGAGACUUACGCUAAUACCGCAUACGACCUACGGGUGAAAGCAGGGGAUCUUCGGACCUUGCGCGAUUGAAUGAGCCGAUGUCGGAUUAGCUAGUUGGCGGGGUAAAGGCCCACCAAGGCGACGAUCCGUAGCUGGUCUGAGAGGAUGAUCAGCCACACUGGAACUGAGACACGGUCCAGACUCCUACGGGAGGCAGCAGUGGGGAAUAUUGGACAAUGGGCGCAAGCCUGAUCCAGCCAUACCGCGUGGGCGAAGAAGGCCUUCGGGUUGUAAAGCCCUUUUGUUGGGAAAGAAAAGCAGCAGGUUAAUACCCCGCUGUUCUGACGGUACCCAAAGAAUAAGCACCGGCUAACUUCGUG
rnacentral:rRNA from 1 species